GCAAACUUGGUCAUUUAGAGGAAGUAAAAGUCGUAACAAGGUUUCCGUAGGUGAACCUGCGGAAGGAUCAUUACCAAAAGGCGAGAAAUCGCUUUGCUACCUGCUUGGUGGCCCUACCCGGGCUGCUGACUGGUUAACCCUUUGUGAACCAAAAAACCUUUCGCUUCGGCAGCUGGGUCCCGAGAGGGCCCCGUCAGCCUGCCGCUAGCACCUAAUUCAAAAACCUAUUGUCAAAACAUUUGUCUGAUAACCAAAUUUUCGAAUGAAAAUCAAAACUUUCAACAACGGAUCUCUUGGUUCCCACAUCGAUGAAGAACGCAGC
rnacentral:misc_RNA from 1 species